AGUGUUAGAUUCAGAGUUUUGAUCCUGGCUCAGAGCGAACGCUGGCGGCAGGCUUAACACAUGCAAGUCGAACGGGCACUUCGGUGCUAGUGGCAGACGGGUGAGUAACACGUGGGAACGUACCUUUCGGUUCGGAAUAAUACAGGGAAACUUGUACUAAUACCGGAUACGCCCUUUGGGGGAAAGAUUUAUCGCCGAUUGAUCGGCCCGCGUCUGAUUAGCUAGUUGGUGAGGUAAUGGCUCACCAAGGCGACGAUCAGUAGCUGGUCUGAGAGGAUGAUCAGCCACACUGGGACUGAGACACGGCCCAG
rnacentral:rRNA from 1 species